GCGGCCAGGCGAUCGCGCGGGAAACCGUGAGGAAAGUCCGGGCAUCACAGGGCAGGGUGCCGGUUAACGGCCGGUGGAGGUAACUCCAAGGAAAGUGCAACAGAAAGAAACCGCCCUCUGCUUGCAGAGAGUAAGGAUGGAAAGGCGAGGUAAGAGCUCACCCGCGCUCUGGUAACAGAAGCGCGCUGUAAACCCCACCUGAUGCAAGAUCCGAACAGAGGCGAUACGGCGGCCCGUCGUGCCUCUAAAGAGAUCGCUACACCGUGCGGCAACGCGCGGUACAGAUAGAUGAUCGUCCAACGACAGAACUCGGCUUACGACCG
rnacentral:RNase_P_RNA from 1 species